GGUUUGCACAAGGGAUAGCAGUGGAAAUCCUUUUUUGUGAUUUUUCAUCACAAAAAAGAUUGCAACGUAUAGCUCGACCCGCU
rnacentral:sRNA from 1 species